rnacentral:lncRNA from 10 species
GCCGACUGCCCUCCAGGUGAUUUUUAUGCCCACUAAAGUCUGAGCAGCAUUGGCCUAGGACACAGCUGUUUAAAAAAUUCUCCUGCUGAGAUAGACAAGAAAAAUAAAUUUGGAUGAUUUCUGGACUUUAGAUUCCUUAACCUUUAACUCACAUUGGUGCAGUGGCUCAUGCCUGUAAUCCCAGCAUUUGGGAAGGCUGAGGUAGACGGGACCUGAGCCCAGGAGUUGGAGACCAGCCUGGGCAACAUCACGACAUCCCAUCUCUACAAAAGAUUAAAAUUAGCCAGGCGUGGUGGUAUGUGCCUGCAACUCCAGCUACUCAGGAAGCUGAGGUGUUUGGGAGGAUCACUUGAGCCUGGGAAGGCGAGGCUGCAGUGAUCCGCGAUCGCACCACGGGACUCCAACCUGGGUGACACAGCAAGACUGUCUCAGAAAGAAGGAAGGGGUGGAUUUCUAUUCCAAUUUGGAGCUGUUCUAACUUGUAGCAUUUUAUAUAGGAAUGUCUUCAUAUUGUCAUUUAGUCUCAUCACAAACCUCUGAUAGACCAUACGGUUGCAUAUAAUUAAGAUAGGAAAUAAAAUAAUAGGGGGCGAUUUUCAGUCUUGGGGAUAGUCAUGGAAAUAAUUUAAUGAAUGUUCUGUUCUGACCCAUUUUAGAACCUUAGCAUUCAUCUCCUUCCUUAAGGGUAUGACCAUAAUAGCUACAUGCUUAACUGAGU